AAAGGAGGCCCUGGGGGUCUUGUUAAAAUACAGAUUCUGAAACAGUAAUUUGGGGAUAGGCUCAGAGAUUCUGCAUUUCUAUCAAGCUCCUGGGUAAAU
rnacentral:miRNA from 1 species